rnacentral:rRNA from 1 species
UACGUAGGGUCCGAGCGUUGUCCGGAAUUACUGGGCGUAAAGAGCUCGUAGGUGGUUUGUCGCGUUGUUCGUGAAAACUCACAGCUCAACUGUGGGCGUGCGGGCGAUACGGGCAGACUAGAGUACUGCAGGGGAGACUGGAAUUCCUGGUGUAGCGGUGGAAUGCGCAGAUAUCAGGAGGAACACCGGUGGCGAAGGCGGCUACCUGGACAGAAACUGACGCUGAGGCACGAAAGCUAGGGGAGCAAACAGG